GACGAACGCUGGCGGCGUGCUUAACACAUGCAAGUCGAACGGAGAUAAUAGUAAUAUUAUCUUAGUGGCGGACGGGUGAGUAACGCGUGGGCAACUUGCCUCAGACUGGGGGAUAACACAGGGAAACUUGUGCUAAUACCGCAUAACAUUAUCGUAAGACAUCCUAUGAUGAUCAAAGGAGUAAUCCGGUUUGAGAUGGGUCCGCGUCCGAUUAGCUAGUUGGCGGUGUAAUGGACCACCAAGGCGACGAUCGGUAGCCGAACUGAGAGGUUGAUCGGCCACAUUGGGACUGAGACACGGCCCAGACUCCUACGGGAGGCAGCAGUGGGGAAUAUUGCACAAUGGGGGAAACCCUGAUGCAGCAACGCCGCGUGAAGGAUGAAGGUUUUCGGAUUGUAAACUUCUUUGAUUGGGGACGAAUAAUGACGGUACCCAAAAAACAAGCCACGGCUAACUACGUGCCAGCCGCCGCGGUAA
rnacentral:rRNA from 1 species